rnacentral:misc_RNA from 1 species
CUGAUUUGCUUAAUUGCACCACAUGUGUUUUCUAUUAUUAUGAAACUUUCUUUGGCGGUGAGACGUAAAACUCACGCCGCCAGAGGUUUACUUAAAACUUAACUUUAAUUUUUAUUAGUCAUAUUUUGUUAUUAUUUAUUUAAUAGUCA